AUUGAACGCUGGCGGCAGGCCUAACACAUGCAAGUCGGACGGCAGCACAGAAGAGCUUGCUCUUUGGGUGGCGAGUGGCGGACGGGUGAGUAAUGUCUGGGAAACUGCCCGAUGGAGGGGGAUAACUACUGGAAACGGUAGCUAAUACCGCAUAACGUCGCGAGACCAAAGUGGGGGACCUUCGGGCCUCACACCAUCGGAUGUGCCCAGAUGGGAUUAGCUAGUAGGUGGGGUAAUGGCUCACCUAGGCGACGAUCCCUAGCUGUCUGAGAGGAUGACCAGCCACACUGGAACUGAGACACGGUCCAGACUCCUACGGGAGGCAGCAGUGGGGAAUAUUGCACAAUGGGCGCAAGCCUGAUGCAGCCAUGCCGCGUGUAUGAAGAAGGCCUUCGGGUUGUAAAGUACUUUCAGCGGGGAGGAAGGCGGUGAGGUUAAUAACCUUGCCGAUUGACGUUACCCGCAGAAGAAGCACCGGCUAACUCCGUGCCAGCCGCCGCGGUAA
rnacentral:rRNA from 1 species